UACGUAGGGGGCAAGCGUUGUCCGGAAUCAUUGGGCGUAAAGAGCGCGUAGGCGGUCCGAUAAGUCGGUUGUGAAAACUCGGGGCUCAACCCUCAGAGGCCGACCGAUACUGUCGGGCUAGAGUCCGGAAGAGGCGAGUGGAAUUCCUGGUGUAGCGGUGAAAUGCGCAGAUAUCGAGAGGAACACCUGCGGCGAAGGCGGGUUGCUGGGCUGAUACUGACGCUGAGGCGCGAAAGCCAGGGGAGCGAACGGG
rnacentral:rRNA from 1 species